rnacentral:sRNA from 1 species
AAAGAUGAGAAGAAACAUGAAUCA